rnacentral:rRNA from 1 species
UGCCAGCAGCCGCGGUAAUACGGAGGGUCCAAGCGUUAUCCGGAUUUAUUGGGUUUAAAGGGUCCGUAGGCGGGAUAAUAAGUCAGUGGUGAAAUCCUACAGCUCAACUGUAGAACUGCCAUUGAUACUGUUAUUCUUGAAUCUAGUUGAGGUAGGCGGAAUGUGUCAUGUAGCGGUGAAAUGCAUAGAUAUGACACAGAACACCAAUUGCGAAGGCAGCUUACUAAACUGGUAUUGACGCUAAGGAACGAAAGCGUGGGUAGCGAACAGGAUUAGAUA